AGUUUGAUCAUGGCUCAGGAAGAACGCUAGCGGCAGGCCUAAUACAUGCAAGUCGGACGGGAUUGGAAUCAGAGCUUGCUCUGGUUCCAUGAGAGUGGCGCACGGGUGCGUAACGCGUGAGCAACCUACCUCUAUCAGGGGGAUAGCCUCUCGAAAGAGAGAUUAACACCGCAUAAUAUAAUGUACCGGCAUCGGGAUAUUAUUAAAUAUUUAUAGGAUAGAGAUGGGCUCGCGUGACAUUAGCUAGUUGGUAGGGUAACGGCUUACCAAGGCGACGAUGUCUAGGGGCUCUGAGAGGAGAAUCCCCCACACUGGUACUGAGACACGGACCAGACUCCUACGGGAGGCAGCAGUAAGGAAUAUUGGUCAAUGGGCGGAAGCCUGAACCAGCCAUGCCGCGUGCAGGAUGACUGCCCUAUGGGUUGUAAACUGCUUUUGUCCAGGAAUAAACCUAGAUACGUGUAUCUAGCUGAAUGUACUGGAAGAAUAAGGAUCGGCUAACUCCGUGCCAGCAGCCGCGGUAAUACGGAGGAUCCGAGCGUUAUCCGGAUUUAUUGGGUUUAAAGGGUGCGUAGGCGGCCUAUUAAGUCAGGGGUGAAAUACGGUGGCUCAACCAUCGCAGUGCCUUUGAUACUGAUGGGCUUUGAAUCCAUUUGAAGUGGGCGGAAUAAGACAAGUAGCGGUGAAAUGCAUAGAUAUGUCUUAGAACUCCGAUUGCGAAGGCAGCUCACUAAGCUGGUAUUGACGCUGAUGCACGAAAGCGUGGGGAUCGAACAGGAUUAGAUACCCUGGUAGUCCACGCCCUAAACGAUGAUAACUCGAUGUUGGCGAUAGACAGCCAGCGUCUUAGCGAAAGCGUUAAGUUAUCCACCUGGGGAGUACGCCCGCAAGGGUGAAACUCAAAGGAAUUGACGGGGGCCCGCACAAGCGGAGGAGCAUGUGGUUUAAUUCGAUGAUACGCGAGGAACCUUACCCGGGCUUGAAAGUUAGUGAAGAGACCAGAGACGGUCUCGUCCUUCGGGACACGAAACUAGGUGCUGCAUGGCUGUCGUCAGCUCGUGCCGUGAGGUGUUGGGUUAAGUCCCGCAACGAGCGCAACCCCUAUGUUUAGUUGCCAGCAUGUAAUGGUGGGGACUCUAAACAGACUGCCUGUGCAAACAGUGAGGAAGGUGGGGACGACGUCAAGUCAUCAUGGCCCUUACGUCCGGGGCUACACACGUGCUACAAUGGAUGGUACAGCGGGCAGCUACAUAGCAAUAUGAUGCUAAUCUCUAAAAGCCAUUCACAGUUCGGAUUGGGGUCUGCAACUCGACCCCAUGAAGUUGGAUUCGCUAGUAAUCGCGUAUCAGCAAUGACGCGGUGAAUACGUUCCCGGGCCUUGUACACACCGCCCGUCAAGCCAUGAAAGUUGGGGGUACCUAAAGCAUGUGACCGCAAGGAGCGUGUUAGGGUAAAACCGAUAGUUGGGGCUAAGUCGUAACAAGGUAACCGUA
rnacentral:rRNA from 1 species